rnacentral:rRNA from 1 species
GUAGGAUGCAUGCGUUGUCCGGAAUUAUUGGGCGUAAAGAGCGCGCAGGCGGUCUAUCAAGUCAGAUGUGAAAUAUCCGGGCUUAACCCGGAGGGGUCAUUUGAAACUGGUAGACUAGAGUACAGCAGAGGAUAGCGGAAUUCCCGGUGUAGUGGUGAAAUGCGUAGAUAUCGGGAGGAACACCAGUGGCGAAGGCGGCUAUCUGGGCUGAAACUGACGCUGAGGAGCGAAAGCGUGGGGAGCAAACAGG